GUUAGGAUGGCCGAGAGGUCAAAGGUGCUGCGUUCAGGUUGCUGUCUCCCCUGGAGGUGUGAGUUCAAAUCCCACUUCUGACA
rnacentral:tRNA from 1 species